rnacentral:rRNA from 1 species
AGUGAACGCUGGCGGUAGGCCUAACACAUGCAAGUCGAACGGCAGCACAGUAAGAGCUUGCUCUUACGGGUGGCGAGUGGCGGACGGGUGAGGAAUACAUCGGAAUCUACUUUUUCGUGGGGGAUAACGUAGGGAAACUUACGCUAAUACCGCAUACGACCUACGGGUGAAAGCAGGGGAUCUUCGGACCUUGCGCGAUUGAAUGAGCCGAUGUCGGAUUAGCUAGUUGGCGGGGUAAAGGCCCACCAAGGCGACGAUCCGUAGCUGGUCUGAGAGGAUGAUCAGCCACACUGGAACUGAGACACGGUCCAGACUCCUACGGGAGGCAGCAGUGGGGAAUAUUGGACAAUGGGCGCAAGCCUGAUCCAGCCAUACCGCGUGGGUGAAGAAGGCCUUCGGGUUGUAAAGCCCUGUUGUUGGGAAAGAAAAGCAGCAUGUUAAUACCCCGCUGUUCUGACGGUACCCAAAGAAUAAGCACCGGCUAACUUCGUG